rnacentral:rRNA from 1 species
GGCGGCAUGGAUUAGGCAUGCAAGUCGAACGGGUGUAGCAAUACACUAGUGGCGCAAGGGUGAGGAACACGUGAGUAAGCUACCCUUUAGUUGGGAAUAACUCUACGAAAGUGGAGCUAAUACCGAAUGUGGCAUAUAGGUUGCAUGAUUUAUAUGCUAAAGAUUUAUUGCUAAAGGAUGUGCUCGCGUCCCAUUAGCUAGUUGGUGAGGUAAUGGCUCACCAAGGCAAUGACGGGUAGGUGGUCUGAGAGGAUGGUCACCCACACUGGGACUGAGAACUUGCCAGACUCCUACGGGAGGCUGCAGUCGAGAAUCUUCCGCAAUGGGCGAAAGCCUGACGGAGCAAUUGCCGCGUGCAGGAUGAAGGCCUUCGGGUCGUAAACUGCUGUCACCGGGGAUGAAUAAUGACAGUACCCGGGGAGGAAGUCACGGAUAACUACGUGCCAGCAGCCGCGGUAAUACGUAGGUGACGAGCGUUGUUCGGAAUUAUUGGGCGUAAAGGGUUCGUAGGAGGUUUAUUAAGAUUGGUGUGAAAUCCCAAGGCUCAACCUUGGAACUGCAUUGAUUACUGAUGAACUAGAGUAUCGUAGAGGAAAGUGGAAUUCCAGGUGUAGCGGUGGAAUGCGUAGAUAUCUGGAAGAACACCGAAAGCGAAGGCAGCUUUCUGGGCGAUAACUGACUCUGAGGAACGAAAGCAUGGGGAGCAAACAGGAUUAGAUACCCUGGUAGUCCAUGCCGUAAACGUUGUGUGCUUGGUCUGAGCGGAUUCAACCC